UACGUAGGGGGCAAGCGUUGUCCGGAUUUAUUGGGCGUAAAGGGUGCGUAGGCGGCAUGAUAAGUUAUUGGCGGUAAAUCGAGGCUCAACCUCGUGGAAACUGAUAAUACUGUUUUGCUUGAGUACAGGAGAGGUUAACGGAACUCCAUGUGGAGCGGUAAAAUGUGUAGAUAUAUGGAAGAACAUCAAUAACGGCGAAGGCAGUUAACUAUUCUGUUACUGACGUUGAGGCACGAAAGCGUGGGGAGCAAAAAGG
rnacentral:rRNA from 1 species